AUUGAACGCUGGCGGCAGGCCUAACACAUGCAAGUCGAACGAGUGGCGGACGGGUGAGUAAUGUAUGGGAAACUGCAUGAUGGAGGUGGAUAAAUACUGGAAACGGUAGCUAAUACCGCAUACAAUCAGAUAUGUCCAGAGGGGAUUAGCUUGUUGUUGGGGUAACGGCUCACCACGGAGACGAUCCCUAGCUGGGUUGAGAGGGUGACCAGCCACACUGGAACUGAGACACGGUCCAGACUCCUACGGGAGGCAGCAGUGGGGAAUAUUGCACAAUGGGCGCAAGCCUGAUGCAGCCAUGCCGCGUGUAUGAAGAAGGCCGUCGGGUUGUAAAGUACUUUCAGCGGGGAGGCGUUACCCGCAGAAGAAGCACCGGCUAACUCCGUGCCAGCAGCCGCGGUAAUAC
rnacentral:rRNA from 1 species